AGGACGUUCGAAACUAGGCAGCUCGAGGGUGGUAGAGGAGAGUGGAAUUCCCGGUGUAGUGGUGAAAUGCGUAGAUAUCGGGAGGAACACCAGUGGCGAAGGCGGCUCUCUGGGCCACCACUGACGCUGAGGUGCGAAAGCUAGGGGAGAGAACGGGAUUAGAAACCCCGGUAUUCCUAGCCGUAAACGAUGUCAACUAAGUGUAGGUGGAUUGACCCAUCUGUGCUGUAGCAAACGCGUUAAGUUGACCGCCUGGGGAGUACGGCCGCAAGGCUAAAACUCAAAGGAAUUGACGGGGACCCGCACAAGCAGCGGAGCGUGUGGUUUACUUCGAGGCUACGCGAAGAACCUUACCAGGGCUUGACAUACAGCUGGAGUGAAGCGAAAGGGGGGAGGCCUUCGGGGAGGUAGCACAGGUGCUGCAUGGCUGUCGUCAGCUCGUGCCGUGAGAUGUUAGGUUAAGUCCCGCAACGAGCGCAACCCACGUUUCUAGUUGCCACUGCUUUAGAGAGACUGCCGGUGACAAACCGGAGGAAGGUGUGGAUGACGUCAAGUCAGCAUGCCCCUUACGUCCUGGGCUACACACGUACUACAAUGCUUCGGACAGAGGGUUGCCAGCCCGCGAGGGUGCGCUAAUCCCUAAACCGAGGCUCAGUUCAGAUUGCAGGCUGCAACUCGCCUGCAUGAAGGCGGAAUCGCUAGUAAUCGCCGGUCAGCAUACGGCGGUGAUACGUUCCCGGGCCUUGUACACACCGCCCGUCACACCAUGGGAGUUGGCCACGCCCGAAGUUGUUACCCUAACCGUUCC
rnacentral:rRNA from 1 species